GAUUUACCGGCGGACGGGUGAGUAACACGUGGGCAACCUGCCCUGUAGACUGGGAUAACUUCGGGAAACCGGAGCUAAUACCGGAUAAUUCUUUUAGCCUCAUGGCUUUAAGCUAAAAGGCGCUUCGGCGUCACUACAGGAUGGGCCCGCGGUGCAUUAGCUAGUUGGUGGGGUAACGGCCUACCAAGGCAACGAUGCAUAGCCGACCUGAGAGGGUGAUCGGCCACAUUGGGACUGAGACACGGCCCAAACUCCUACGGGAGGCAGCAGUAGGGAAUCUUCCACAAUGGACGAAAGUCUGAUGGAGCAACGCCGCGUGAGUGAUGAAGGUUUUCGGAUCGUAAAACUCUGUUGUAAGGGAAGAACAAGUGCGUUAGGUAAUGAACGCACCUUGACGGUACCUUAUUAGAAAGCCACGGCUAACUACGUGCCAGCAGCCGCGGUAAUAGUAGGUGGCAAGCGUUGUCCGGAUUUAUUGGGCGUAAAGCGCGCGCAGGUGGUUU
rnacentral:rRNA from 1 species